UGCGUAGGCGGGCUAAUAAGUCAGUGGUGAAAUCUUCCGGCUCAACCGGGAACCUGCCAUUGAUACUGUCAGUCUUGAGUUCGGUUGAGGUAGGCGGAAUGUGUAAUGUAGCGGUGAAAUGCUUAGAUAUUACACAGAACACCAAUUGCGUAGGCAGCUUACUAGACCGACACUGACGCUGAGGCACGAAAGCGUGGGGAGCGAACAGGAUUAGAUACCCUGGUAGUCC
rnacentral:rRNA from 1 species